UUGGCUUCUGCUGAGAGAAGUCCUACAACUUCUGCUCGCGAGGAAGACAGUUUUGUCCUUGUUGGGAAACAGUUAAAUCCGACAUCAUCAAACAGCCGGCAGGAAAGAAUGUCACUUUCCCUCGGCACGGUGAUUAGCAGUGACCUAGAUGGGAAGUGCAGCACCCAGACACUCAGAGAUGAUGUUAAAUUGGGAUAUAUGAGACAUAUGCCAAUAUGUGAAUUACAGGAGCAUAUAUGUACAACGCCACAAAGGUCUGUUGAAGAGGCUCAGCUGGGGAAUGAAAGAUAA
rnacentral:lncRNA from 1 species